rnacentral:rRNA from 1 species
UGGGGAAUAUUGCACAAUGGGCGAAAGCCUGAUGCAGCAACGCCGCGUGCGGGAUGACGGCCUUCGGGUUGUAAACCGCUUUCAGCAGGGACGAAGGUUUUCUGACGGUACCUGCAGAAGAAGCACCGGCUAACUACGUGCCAGCAGCCGCGGUGAUACGUAGGGUGCGAGCGUUGUCCGGAAUUAUUGGGCGUAAAGAGCUUGUAGGCGGUCCGUUGCGUCGGAAGUGAAAACUCAGGGCUUAACCCUGAGCCUGCUUUCGAUACGGGCGGACUUGAGGGAUGUAGGGGAGAACGGAAUUCCUGGUGGAGCGGUGGAAUGCGCAGAUAUCAGGAGGAACACCAGUGGCGAAGGCGGUUCUCUGGACAUUUCCUGACGCUGAGAAGCGAAAGCGUGGGGAGCAAACAGGCUUAGAUACCCUGGUAGUCGACGCCGUAAACGGUGGCACUAGGUGUGGGACCCAUUCCACGGGUUCCGUGCCGUAGCUAAAC